AUUGAAAGGCUGAAACUUUCCCCUCCCGAAACCAUCGCCUCGCCUCCACCGACCACCAUGCCGCCGGACGGAAUCGUCGAGGAUAUUUACCUCCGCCUCCGCCGGACGAGCCCGCGUGCCUCGUUCGCGCCUCCCUCGCUAGCAAGCUCUGGCUCGGCCAUCUCACCGGCCCUCGCUUCCGCGAGCUCCAUGGAGCGCCCCCCAUGCUGGGCUUCCUUUACGAUUGGUUCUGGGACUACAUGCCGGAGGAGAAAGACGCCGUCCCGCGCUUCGUCCCCGACCACCACUGGGGGGAGGGGACUCGGGCUCGGACUACAACGCGUUGGACUGCCGCCAUGGCCGCGUUCUCCUGGGGAUUAUGGCGCGCCCAUGCCGCUCGUCGUCUGGGACCCCAUGGCAGGCCGCCAAACCAAGAUGGAAGCGCCCAAAGGACAGGAUAUCGGUGUCAUGAGGGCGCCUUCAGGGUCGUCGUCUUCGGCAUGACCACCCAUGGUGAUCAUCCUGUUAUUAUACAGGUGUGCGUGUCCUCGCCCAACACGGGUGAGUGGAGCGAUCCGUGCCCUGGUCUUGAUCUUGGCGUUGACGCAUUCAUCAUGCCGGUGCCCCCUGUCGUCAUCCGAGAUAGAUGCAGUUUACUUGAUGCAUGCAUGCGCGUGGUGAGCAUCAUCACAUUACAGGAAUUCUCAAGUACGACUUGGGCUCUAAUUGCUUAUCGCUGAUGAUUGACAUGCCGCUGCCGGGGGCUGUCAAUGUCGGCGACGUCAUCCUCAUGGCCAUGGAGGAUGGCAGCUUGGGGCUUGCACAUGUCAGUGGAUCAACCCUCUACCUGUGGUCAAGCUCAAGCCAGCGACGACAUGGACUCAGCGUAGAGCCAUCCAUCUCAAAACCCUUCUUCCCAUUCAAAAUCCCAUGGAAGGACUUAGACUGAUUGGAUCCAUGGAAGGCAAUGAUAUCGUCUUCGUGCUUACGGACCUUAGCAUCUACUCCCUCCGUUCCAAAUUACUCGUCGUGGUUUUAGUUCAAAUUUGAACUAAUACCACGACGCGUAAUUUGGAACGGAGGGAGUACCAGAUUAAUCUUAACUCACUACAGUGGAACAAGAUAUGGAAGAGACAAAAAUUCUUUGCUUUGAUUCCCUACAUGAGUUUCCACAAUCCACAAGAAAGGAUGAGCCCCUGAAAUGUGAAGCACCGGCAACAUAUGGUUGAAUAAUGCUUUAGGGGCAGGAGGCCACUAUCAUCAAUAGGAAAGAUGACUACUUGGAGUGGAGGCGACAUGAGUCUUGUGAUUAAUCGUGUCAGUAUUCAGUAGCUUGUUUAGUGCUUGUUUUCUCAUAGUGAUGUUACUUUUGGUCAGUAAGCUUGAUAAUGUCCCCGUGUUGUUGAUGUGUGUAAGCAGGGGAAUGGAUUGCCUUUGUAAUUAACCUCUAAUUUCUUGCAGCAUCAGCUAUGUGCUUUCUUGUUUAA